ACUGCUCAGUAACACGUGGAUAACCUGCCCUUGGGACCGGGAUAACCCCGGGAAACUGGGGAUAAUACCGGAUAACGCAUAUCUGCUGGAAUGCUUUAUGCGUAAAAUGGAUUUGUCUGCCCAAGGAUGGGUCUGCGGCCUAUCAGGUAGUAGUGGGUGUAAUGUACCUACUAGCCUACGACGGGUACGGGUUGUGAGAGCAAGAGCCCGGAGAUGGAUUCUGAGACAUGAAUCCAGGCCCUACGGGGCGCAGCAGGCGCGAAAACUUUACAAUGCGGGAAACCGUGAUAAGGGGACACCGAGUGCCAGCAUCAUAUGUUGGCUGUCCAGAUGUGUAAAAUACAUCUGUUAGCAAGGGCCGGGCAAGACCGGUGCCAGCCGCCGCGGUAACACCGGCGGCCCGAGUGGUGAUCGUGAUUAUUGGGUCUAAAGGGUCCGUAGCCGGUUUGGUCAGUCCUCCGGGAAAUCUGACGGCUCAACCGUUAGGCUUUCGGUGGAUACUGCCAGACUUGGAACCGGGAGAGGUAAGAGGUACUACAGGGGUAGGAGUGAAAUCUUGUAAUCCCUGUGAGACCACCUGUGGCGAAGGCGUCUUACCAGAACGGGUUCGACGGUGAGGGACGAAAGCUGGGGGCACGAACCGGAUUAGAUACCCGGGUAGUCCCAGCCGUAAACGAUGCUCGCUAGGUGUCAGGCAUGGCGCGACCGUGUCUGGUGCCGCAGGGAAGCCGUGAAGCGAG
rnacentral:rRNA from 1 species